rnacentral:rRNA from 1 species
GACGAACGCUGGCGGCGUGCUUAACACAUGCAAGUCGAACGGAAAGGCCCUGCUUUUGUGGGGUGCUCGAGUGGCGAACGGGUGAGUAACACGUGAGUAACCUGCCCUUGACUUUGGGAUAACUUCAGGAAACUGGGGCUAAUACCGGAUAGGAGCUCCUGCUGCAUGGUGGGGGUUGGAAAGUUUCGGCGGUUGGGGAUGGACUCGCGGCUUAUCAGCUUGUUGGUGGGGUAGUGGCUUACCAAGGCUUUGACGGGUAGCCGGCCUGAGAGGGUGACCGGCCACAGUGGGACUGAGAUACGGCCCAGGCUCCUACGGGAGGCAGCAGUGGGGAAUAUUGCACAAUGGGCGGAAGCCUGAUGCAGAAAAGCCGCGUGCGGGAUGACGGCCUUCGGGUUGUAAACCGCUUUCGCCUGUGACGAAGCGUGAGUGACGGUAAUGGGUGAAGAAGCACCGGCUAACUACGU